rnacentral:rRNA from 1 species
CAGUAGCCGCGGUAAUACGGAGGGUGCAAGCGUUAAUCGGAAUUACUGGGCGUAAAGUGUGCGUAGGCGGUUCGUACAGUUGGGUGUGAAAUUCCUGGGCUUAGCCUGGGGGCUGCAUUCAAUACGUGCGGGCUUGAGUGUGGAAGAGGGUUGUGGAAUUCCCAGUGUAGAGGUGAAAUUCGUAGAGAUCGGGAGGAACAUCAGUGGCGAAGGCGGCCAUCUGGGACAACACUGACGCUGAGGCACGAAAGCGUGGGGAGCAAACAGGAUUAGAUACCCCAGUAGUCCCUGUCUCUUAUAC